rnacentral:sRNA from 1 species
GUCGCUGCCAAUUCAGCGACCGGGCCUGAGAACCCGAGUAAGAUGCAGGCGCUACAGCGCCCGAACCACGUUUUGCGGCGUUUUUUU